CCCUAGUAACUGCGAGUGAAGCGGGAAAAGCUCAAAUUUGAAAUCUGGCGGCCCCGCCGUCCGAGUUGUAAUCUGGAGAAGCGUCUUCCGUGCCGGACCGUGUACAAGUCCCUUGGAACAGGGCGUCGUAGAGGGUGAGAAUCCCGUCUUUGACACGGACCCCCGGUGCUAUGUGAUGCGCUCUCGAAGAGUCGAGUUGUUUGGGAAUGCAGCUCAAAAUGGGUGGUAAAUUCCAUCUAAAGCUAAAUAUUGGCGAGAGACCGAUAGCGAACAAGUACCGUGAGGGAAAGAUGAAAAGCACUUUGGAAAGAGAGUAAAACAGUACGUGAAAUUGUUGAAAGGGAAACGCUUGAAGUCAGUCGCGUCUGCCGGAACUCAGCCUUGCUUCUGCUUGGCGCACUUUCCGGUCCGACGGGCCAGCAUCGGUUUCGAGGGGCGGACACUGGCGAGGGGAAGGUGGCGGCUCCGGCCGCGUUAUAGCCCCACGUCGCGAACGUCUCCCGGGACCGAGGAAUCCGGCGCAAGCCUGGGAUGCUGGCGUAAUGGCUUUAAACGACCCGUCUUGAAACACGGACCAAGGAGUGCUACGUGCUCGCGAGUGUUUGGGUGGAAAACCCGGACGCGAAAUGAAAGUGAAAGUCGAUACCCUUCGGGGGCACCGACGCCCGAGCCUGAUGUUUUCUGAAGGCCUUGCGGUAGAGCGAGUGCGUUGCGACCCGAAAGAUGGUGAACUAUUCCUGAGGAGGGCGAAGCCAGAGGAAACUCUGGUGGAGGCUCGUAGCGGUUCUGACGUGCAAAUCGAUCGCAGGACUUGGG
rnacentral:rRNA from 1 species